rnacentral:rRNA from 1 species
AGGACGAACGCUGGCGGCGCGCUUAACACAUGCAAGUCGAGCGAGAACCGGUUCUUCGGGACCGGGGAAAGCGGCGAACGGGUGAGUAACACGUGGGUAAUCAACCCUCGGUACCGGGAUAGCCCGAGGAAACUCGGAUUAAUACCGGAUGGCCCAACAGCCUUUCGGGGCGGUUGGAAAAGGUAGCUUCGGCCUCCGACCGAGGACGAGCCCGCGGCGGAUUAGCUUGUUGGUGGGGUAACGGCCCACCAAGGCGACGAUCCGUAGCUGGUCUGAGAGGACGAUCAGCCACACUGGGACUGAGACACGGCCCAGACUCCUACGGGAGGCAGCAGUGGGGAAUCUUGCACAAUGGGCGAAAGCCUGAUGCAGCGACGCCGCGUGAGGGAAGAAGGCUUUCGGGUUGUAAACCUCUUUCAGGAGGGACGAAGCUACUCGGGUUAAUAGCCCAGAGGGUGACGGUACCUCCGAGAAGAAGCCCCGGCUAACUACGUGCCAGCAGCCGC